rnacentral:rRNA from 1 species
UACGUAGGGGGCAAGCGUUGUCCGGAUUCAUUGGGCGUAAAGAGCGUGUAGGCGGCCAGGUAGGUCGGUUGUGAAAACUGGAGGCUCAACCUUCAGAGGUCGACCGAAACCAUCUGGCUAGAGUCCGGGAGAGGAGAGUGGAAUUCCUGGUGUAGCGGUGAAAUGCGCAGAUAUCAGGAAGAACACCCGUGGCGAAAGCGGUUUCCUGGCCGAGUACUGACGCUGAGGCACGAAAGCGUGGGGAGCGAACGGG